rnacentral:rRNA from 1 species
UAAGGAAUAUUGCUCAAUGGGAGAAAUCCUGAAGCAGCAACGCCGCGUGGAGGAUGAAGGGUCUAUGACUUGUAAACUCCUGUAAAGAAGGAAAAAAUUCCCCUUAGAUGGGAGAUGAUGGUACUUCUGGAGUAAGCCCCGGCUAACUACGUGCCAGCAGCCGCGGUAAUACGUCGGGGGCAAGCGUUGUCCGGAUUUACUGGGUGUAAAGGGUGCUCAGGCGGAUUUGUAAGUCAGAGGUGAAAUCUUACAGCUUAACUGUGAAACUGCCUUUGAUACUGCAAGCCUAGAGUAUGGAAGAGAGUGAUGGAAUAUCUGGUGUAGCAGUGAAAUGCGUAGAUAUCAGAUAGAACACCUAUGGCGAAGGCAGUCACUUGGUCCAUUACUGACGCUAAAGCACGAAAGCUUG